AUUUGGAUGUGGAAGCUUUCUCCAGGUCACAGGAGUCCAAGAAAGGCAGUGGUAAGAUUAGAACUACGUUGGAGCACCUUAUGCCCUGUGUAUCAGAUAAUAUGUAUGGCUCUAUCAAAUAUCACAAGAUCAAUCUCCCAAUCCAGAUUAUUCUGUGCCCUUUCUUCUCUGUCAAGUGGGGUCUCAAGCUCUAGGUAACAUCUGGGGUUGCUAAACUCCUCCCAGAGGGUCAGGGAGUGACCUAAGGUGGCUAGGCUAUAAAAGACCUAGAUGAGACCAUGGGUCAUUCCUGUUAGAGCACAAACAUCCCUGAAGAAGAAAUGUGCUUGGUUUACAGAUGUGAGGGAGCAUAAUACAGUAAGCGUAGAAAAGAUGGAUAAAGACUGCAGAAAAUAUGUAGAACAUGGGAAUUUGUUGUAGAGGAAGAUGCUGGCGGAGGCCCCUCCACAUUGCAUGUAAUGUGAUCUGUCACAGCAGUCAGAGAGCUCCUUACACAGAGCAAGGAUAACCUCUAGUGUCCUUGACAGCUUUCCAUUUCUGAUUCAAUAAGUCCCUAGAAACUCACUCAUUACCUACGAUACUGUUCCAAUUGUUAGAAAGGUCUAGACAUCACAUUGAACUAAGCACCUGCUUCCCAGAUGUCUGCACCCUUCGGGUGAGUAUCUGCCCUGUGGUUUAUAGCAACCGAGUUCCACUUCCUUCUUACCCAGCCGCCCACUGGAUCUAUGAAGACGACUUUCAGUUUUUAUACUGGUGUUCCCCAAAGUGCAUUGAGCAGAGCCGUCAGUCUGCCCGAUGUCACUAGGUGUCCUUAUAAAACAAACAGAUAAAACCGAUUCCAUAAAUAGCAUCUGUGGGCAAGCUUGGUUAAACCAGGUUAGCCAGGUACACUUCCUGUCGGGUUCUCAGAGCUUUUAUCAUGUGACCAGAGGUUGGAUUCCAAAAGGGAAAUACAGAACAGGCUGUUCUCUAAACCUUUGACCUUGGGGCCCGGCUUUCCCCCAGUUUGUCCUUUGCUGGUUUCCGUAAGUACUGAGAGAAAUAGCAUUUGGAAACACCUUCUUCUGCAUAUCUAGAUGCUUGCUGUCAUUUCCCACGCUGAAAGCUCGGUGAGUCCUGAUGUUUAUUGCCAUUUGACUUUUCUCUCCCAGGGCUGUGAGAUGCCAGUAUUGCAUGCUCACCGAGAGGGUUUCUCUGUGAAUCCCUGGCUAUCCUUGAAUUCGAUUUGUAGACCAGGCUGGCCUUGAACUCAGACCUGUCUGCCUCCGCCUCCUGAGUGAGAAGACUAAAGGUGUGCACUACUACUGCCUGUUGCUCAGUUACCUUCAAAUGUCACCUAAGCAGAAAAUGUUCUGGAUACAAGUAUGUUUCAUGGAACAUUCAGGACAUCCUUACAAGGAAAAGGAUCUGCUACUGAUAUGAAAUUCAGAUUCAACUGGGUAGACUCCAUUUUAAUUUGCCAAAUCUGACAUCCCUUUACUUGAAAAACGUCCUUUGGUUGAGUAUCUGCCCUUCGGUUUAUAACAACCGAGUUCCACUUCCUUCUUAGCCAGCAGCCCACUGGAUAUAUGAAGACCCUCCUGCCCCGCAGAAAAGGAUAGACACAGACUAAGACACUGAGAACUUUGGAAGCCUCCAUCAACCCUGCUUUUCCAUGAGAUAUUUUUAAAGGAGAGCAACUCAAUGGGGCUGGCAAGUUGCCACGAAGAUUACAAAGAAGAGUGCCCAACUGUGAAGAAAGAAACAUGUCUCCUAUAAGCCUGAAGCUAAAGAAAAAUAUUCUGGAACUCUUCUUAAUUAGGGAAGAAAACAUUUUCUAAGACCAUUUUGGAAAAUAAAAUAUUAGUGCGUAGGAGUCCCUGUGGUAGCACCAAAUCCCCCACGGACCUAUUUAUGGUCAAAAUAUACAGGCUCUAGGUAAGUUUAAUAGCUAUUGAAUGUUUCAAUGAUCUCCCUGGAGCCUGUCACUAGCUCUGUCCAAGGCCCUCCCUGGCGUUGCUGUUAAGCAAGAGCCCAAAUGUACACAAGCAUAGUUGUAAUCCACUGAUGGGAAAGUAAUGCAUUGUGUCAUAGCUGAAAAACUCCCUACAACUCCCCCACUGCGAGAGGCUACCCCCACUGGAGGAAAGUUCGCUAUGAGUAAAUACGAGUUACUGUAUAAAGGCCAUUGAGAACACGGCCAUCAUGGAUAUCACCUCCAUCGUCACAUGCCACAGAGCUUCAUGGCUGUUCCCACUGCAGUGCCAGCAGGUUUUCAAGUCCUCUGAUUCGCCCAUUGUUACUUGUGUUUAUGGCUUCAUGUUGCCCACUGUGUGCUAGGAGUACACUGGCUUGUGGCUGCCAGAGGCCCUGCUUACAACUCUUGAGAAGGCACAAGGCAAUCUUUAUGCAACCUGGCUUUCCCAUCCUCCUCUCUUUGCCCAGGCCAAGAAUAGUCAAUGAUCAUGUUCUGGAAGAAAUCCCACCUUGUCACUGGAUGCUCUGAGCCAGGAGAAGGAGGAGGAAGAGCGCUAGAGGCACAUGCAUGUUACCAGUCAGCCAGACACAGAGGAAGCAGCAACAGCAGAGCGUUCCUUUCAAAUCCACCACUUUCUCAGUUUUUGCCUCAUGGACUGGUUCAGGCCUGGUGCUAUCUGGUAAAGAGAGCACUCUUCACCCCUCAUUGCCCUCGAGUGCUCUUUCCCUGAUCCUGUAUGUGAUUUGUUUAUAAAGUAUCCAAUCGGUAGUUUAAUGCAUAUGCAUGUAAAUAUGCAUUUUAAAGAAAGCAUGCAUGCAUAAAUAUCUUUUGUGUAGUGAUGCUCAUGAUAAUUCUUUUAAAUAUACCUUUGAUGAUAACUGGA